rnacentral:rRNA from 1 species
GACGAACCGUGCGAACGUUGUUCGGAAUCACUGGGCUUAAAGGGCGCGUAGGCGGGAUGGCAAGUCAGUCGUGAAAUCUCUCGGCUCAACCGAGAAACGUCGGCUGAUACUGCCGUUCUUGAGGGAUGCAGAGGAGACUGGAAUUCCCGGUGUAGCGGUGAAAUGUGUAGAGAUCGGGAGGAACACCGGUGUCGAAGGCGGGUCUCUGGGCAUCUCCUGACGCUGAGGCGCGAAAGCGUGGGAGCAAACGGG